GUCCCUGUAGCGCAAUAGAUAGCGCGUUGGACUUCUUAUCCAAAGGUCGUAGGUUCGAAUCCUACCUAGGAUG